AUGGCAGCCGCCAGCGACAAACACCGAAAGGAUGUAGCCGAACUCGAGCACGGACUCGAGCACAAUGGCGACAUACACCUCCUCCCAACGUCAAUCGCACGCUCGUACGCGCGCCCGCGGUCCCGACGCGCCCGACAUGUCCAGUGCGCACCCAUAACACUCACCGGUCGUGCCCGGCUCGUCGCCGCGGCUUAUUGCCCUGCACCGCUGCGGCCUCAACCGCAGCGCAACACCUCCAUGCCGAUGUGUGUCGUUGAAGCCGCCACCACGCAGGUCCUCCACGACCUCCUCACCGUGCCGCCGCAGCCACCGCGGCCUCCUCGCUGCGCCGCGAACCUCCAUAGACCGACACACGGCCCGGAGCUUCACCGUGCCGCCGGCGGCGGACGCCGCCACCGCCGGCACGCUUCCGACAAGGGGCGACACCCAAGAUGA
rnacentral:rRNA from 1 species